CCUACGGGGGGCAGCAGUGGGGAAUAUUGCACAAUGGGCGCAAGCCUGAUGCAGCCAUGCCGCGUGUGUGAAGAAGGCCUUCGGGUUGUAAAGCACUUUCAGCGGGGAGGAAGGCGUUAAGGUUAAUAACCUUGUCGAUUGACGUUACCCGCAGAAGAAGCACCGGCUAACUCCGUGCCAGCAGCCGCGGUAAUACGGAGGGUGCAAGCGUUAAUCGGAAUUACUGGGCGUAAAGCGCACGCAGGCGGUCUGUCAAGUCGGAUGUGAAAUCCCCGGGCUCAACCUGGGAACUGCAUUCGAAACUGGCAGGCUAGAGUCUUGUAGAGGGGGGUAGAAUUCCAGGUGUAGCGGUGAAAGGCGUAGAGAUCUGGAGGAAUACCGGUGGCGAAGGCGGCCCCCUGGACAAAGACUGACGCUCAGGUGCGAAAGCGUGGGGAGCAAACAGGAUUAGAUACCCCGGUAGUC
rnacentral:rRNA from 1 species